CCUACGGGUGGCAGCAGUCGAGAAUCAUUCACAAUGGGGGAAACCCUGAUGGUGCGACGCCGCGUGGGGGAAUGAAGGUCUUCGGAUUGUAAACCCCUGUCAUGUGGGAGCAAAUUAAAAAGAUAGUACCACAAGAGGAAGAGACGGCUAACUCUGUGCCAGCAGCCGCGGUAAUACAGAGGUCUCAAGCGUUGUUCGGAAUCACUGGGCGUAAAGCGUGCGUAGGCUGGUUCGUAAGGCGUGUGUGAAAGGCGCGGGCUCAACCCGCGGACGGCAAAUGAAACUGGGAGACUAGAGUAAGGGAGGGGGAACCGGAAUUCUCGGUGUAGCAGUGAAAUGAGUAGAUAUCGAGAAGAACACUCGUGGCGAAGGCGGGUUCCUGGACAUUAACUGACGCUGAGGCACGAAGGCCAGGGGAGCGAAAGGGAUUAGAUACCCUUGUAGUC
rnacentral:rRNA from 1 species